ACGGAAGGCAGCAGUGGGGAAUAUUGCACAAUGGGGGAAACCCUGAUGCAGCGACGCCGCGUGAAGGAAGCAGUAUCUCGGUAUGUAAACUUCUAUCAGCAGGGAAGAUAAUGACGGUACCUGACUAAGAAGCCCCGGCUAACUACGUGCCAGCAGCCGCGGUAAUACGUAGGGGGCAAGCGUUAUCUGGAUUUACUGGGUGUAAAGGGAGUGUAGGUGGUUUGGCAAGCCAGAUGUGAAAACCCGGGGCUCAACUCCGAGGACUGCAUUUGGAACUGUUAAACUUGAGUGCAGGAGAGGAAAGUGGAAUUCCUAGUGUAGCGGUGAAAUGCGUAGAUAUUAGGAGGAACACCAGUGGCGAAGGCGGCUUUCUGGACUGUAACUGACACUGAGGCUCGAAAGCGUGGGGAGCAAACAGGAUUAGAUACCCUGGUA
rnacentral:rRNA from 1 species